UAUAUAUAGAAGUAUAUAUUAUUAUACAUAUUACAGUAUCGCGACAAGCCUCUUGGGGCGCAAUAUAAAAGAUGACUGGCAAGCAGAAGAAGAAGAAGAAAGAACACUUAUCACGUGACUUUGCGGAAGUGUAAGUCUUAACAACAUGAACAGUGCCUGAGCGACAAUGCUUCGCUUUUUGGCUGUAUUAGUCAUAUAUUUGGGAUGUCUGGACAAAACGUAUGUACACGGGACUCAGUCAGAGGCAGCCGGCGCACAGGGUACAGCGAGCUGCGGCUGUGAGAGUUUGAAGAGAGACCCUGUUGUGGAGGAUAAGAAAUCAUCCCAGGAUGCAGCCGUAAAGUAUUCGAGAGAAGCAAAUGUGUUGCAGUCUGGUGCGCAUGGAAAGGAGAAGAUACUAAGUAAGAUGGUGCUGAUUUCUGGUGGAGAAUUUCUGAUGGGAACAGACAACCCGGGUAUCCCUGCGGAUGGCGAGGGUCCUCAGAGGCAGGUCCAUGUGGACUCCUUCUACAUGGACAUCCAGGAAGUCACUAACCGACAGUUCCAGAGCUUUGUCAAUGCCACAGGCUACGUGACGGAGGGAUCAUCAGCAUUUGGCUUGUUAUUCUCCCAGGCAGAGACGUUUGGGGAUUCGUUUGUUUUCGAAGGAAUUCUGAGUGAGGCCGUCAAACGCCAAAUCACACAAGCAGUGGCUGCUGCACCCUGGUGGCUCCCAGUGAAUGGUGCCAACUGGAGACACCCCGAGGGCCCAGACAGUGAUAUCAAAGACAGACUGGACCAUCCUGUUAUUCAUGUGUCUUGGGCGGACGCUGUUACAUACUGUACCUGGGCCAACAAGAGGCUUCCCACAGAGGCAGAGUGGGAGUACGCCUGCAGGGGCAACUUAAAAGACAGACUUUAUCCAUGGGGAAAUCUGCUGAACCCUAAGGGGCAACACUUUGCCAACCUCUGGCAGGGGGACUUCCCCCACCAUAAUUCUGCAGAAGAUGGAUACAUCAAAACCUCACCGGUGAUGUCUUUUCCCGCCAAUGCUUUCGGUGUGUUUGACAUGGUGGGCAAUGCGUGGGAAUGGACGUCAGACUGGUGGACAGUGCGUCACUCCACAGAGCAACAAAGUAAUCCGACAGGUCCUCCAUCAGGCACUGACAAAGUAAAGAAGGGAGGUUCAUACAUGUGUCAUAAGUCAUACUGUUACCGGUACCGCUGUGCGGCACGGAGCCAGAACACGCCGGACAGCUCUGCCUCCAAUCUUGGUUUCCGUUGCGUCUCUCCGGAGCCACAUUGACUUACACUUGAACACAGACUGACUUUGAAUCAGGGUCUCCUUGAUGCCAUUGUUGCAGUCAUGUCAUUGUGCAGCAAACAUGAUGACUAUCGGCAGGGCAGCCCUUGGCCAAACCAGCCAUUACAAAAUUAUUGUGUCAGGAACAGAGCCGCCACCAGGAAUUCUGGGCCUAACUGACCUAAUAAAGUUUAUUGUAGUAUUUCACCAGAACUUGAAUUUAGUUAGAUGAAUGUUUUGGCAAUAAAUGGCAGCAGCUGUACCAUUACAGUGUACCACAACAAAUUGUUCAAUAAAUUAUUGUUUUAAUUUAUUGAAAAGUGUGUGAAUUCUGCCAUCUUUUGCUCCAUGCCUCAUGGCAGCAAUGUACUCACCCUUGCGCAAAAUGGGGCACACCUUGGAUCAUGAAGGGGUGGUUCUGACUACAGGCAGCUAGCAACUGAAUCUGUGCGGCAUGUCUAAAGUGAAAUAGUAAAAAAACAAAGACGUCUGCAAAAGAAUCAGAAAAGUAUUUAUUUUGACAUUGUCAAUAUAACAUAUUACAUGUGAAAAUCUAACCAAUCAGCAAAAACCCUAACAAAAAAAGUACUCCUCAUGUCAUUUAUGAGGGCGAGGGCAAAAACA